rnacentral:rRNA from 1 species
CCUACGGGGGACAGCAGUGAGGAAUAUUGGUCAAUGGACGAGAGUCUGAACCAGCCAAGUAGCGUGAAGGAUGACUGCCCUAUGGGUUGUAAACUUCUUUUAUAUGGGAAUAAAAUGUUCCACGUGUGGGAUUUUGUAUGUACCAUAUGAAUAAGGAUCGGCUAACUCCGUGCCAGCAGCCGCGGUAAUACGGAGGAUCCGAGCGUUAUCCGGAUUUAUUGGGUUUAAAGGGAGCGUAGGUGGAUUGUUAAGUCAGUUGCGAAAGUUUGCGGCUCAACCGUAAAAUUGCAGUUGAAACUGGCAGUCUUGAGUACAGUAGAGGUGGGCGGAAUUCGUGGUGUAGCGGUGAAAUGCUUAGAUAUCACGAAGAACUCCGAUUGCGAAGGCAGCUCACUGGACUGCAACUGACACUGAGGCUCGAAAGUGUGGGUAUCAAACAGGAUUAGAUACCCGUGUAGUC